AUCUCACAGUUGCGCUUUGGGUUCUUGUGAUGCUUCUUCUUUUAUUUCAUCUUCUACCUUGCAAUUACCAGAUAAUAAAACUGCAAAUGCUGAUUUGCUUAGAAAUCCAUAUGAUGUUGGUUUUUAUAGAGAAAAGGUGAGAGGUAUGGAAAUUCAUGAAAUUGAAAAACUUGUGAAGAAUGUAUUCGUACCUGAUGAAUGCUAUGAAUUUCCUAAAACUGUUGAUGCAAAUGGUCGAAGUAGGUCCUUUCGACAUGAUUGGCUGAAGGAUUAUCUUUGGCUUUCGUAUUCUCCAAGUCUUAAAGGUGCUUUUUGCUUACUAUUUGUUUUGUUUGGUGAUAGGUUUCCCUCCAAAAACAGUCGAAUUAAAAUAUUUUUUAGAGUCAUUAACACAUUGGCCUGAUGCUAAAAGUGCAAUAAAAAGGCAUAUAAGUACAUCAUCAGGUCUUUCAUGUUCACACUUAGGCUCUUCUUAAGGAUAUCUUGGAUCAGAGCUCCGGUAAAAGCCAGCCAAUAAAUGUCAUGAUUGGCAGUAACUUAAAUAAAAAGACUUCUCCCACACACGAUGCGGUGACGGAUGAUAUUUUGUUUACAUCCGUUCAUCAAAUUGUGCAAGAAAAUGACAUGGAAAGCGGGUCAGAAGAGGAGGAAAUUAGCAAGUCGAUUGAUUUAAUGAUAACCAACUCCGAAAAUGAUGAAGAAGUCUUUUCCGAAAGACAAUCAGAUAUGGAGUUUCUAGAUGACAGUGCUCAAUCCAACAGUGAACUUUCAUUUUACAGACAAGUGGAUCAACAAAUAUAAUGCCAAUGCAGACUAAGGUUGUUUGACACAUUUCUACACUGGACAAGGCUGACGAUGAUUGAACACGAUACGCAGUCAUUUCUAUGUGAUCGGUAUGUACAGAGGGGAAACAGCGACGACAAUUGUGAACUAUGCAAUACAUCAGCAUUAUACAGACAAAUAUGGAAACUAACGUAGAAGGAACCAACACAUAAAAGUUGACAGUUUUUUCUUUCGCUGGUGGAACAAAAUACAUAAACGAUGAAGGCGAUACCAUUGAUUCUGACUGUGACGGUGAUAACGACAAGGAGGGUGAUGAAUGUAAAGACGAAGACGACAGCUGUAAAUGAAACGGUGGUGAUGUUGAUGAUGAGAGUGGUGGUAACAGUGGUAAUAACGACAACAGGGGUGAUGACUUUGAAGUUGAAAAUGAUAUCGCUGAAUGUGGAGGUGUUAAUGACGUUGACGGCGACAACAGCAAAGAUGUAGACGAUAAUAACAGCGACUGUGAUGAAGUUGAAAUGGAGGUUGACAUGUUAAAAAAAAUUAGCGAGGGAUGAACAUAAAACUUUCGGAGGGACGACGGAACGUGCGAUGAUUUACAUGUGGUGGACAUAAUCAACGACGAUGGAAGAGGAGAAAGACUAACGAACGACUGAGGGAAACGAUUUCUUGUGGCUGAUGUACACGAAAAAAGUGGUGUCACAGACGAAAAUGAGUUCACAGGCGUCAAAUACAAAUCUUUUUUUCUGGUUGGACACAGAUCAUACAACACAUUUAACAUUGAGAAAUUUGCAGGACAGGACAGAGGGUUUUCACGUAAAUCAAUGUACAUAAGUCUUGGGUACGCACGAAUAACAUCAAGUUCAUUCACAGCUUUAAUGUUGUUUCGUCUCAACGACAAAAUCCUUAUUCGUGUAUCUUUUACCGUUCCGACAGGAACAUGCUUCAGAUUCAUGUUAGAACAAUCUAACAUAUGAUAUCUCUUCACAUAACCACAUUUUUCACCAUGGGUUGGACAUGCCGCCAUAAAAAACAACAUGCAGACAGCAAGGAAUUCAUUAUGGAAAAUUGGAAAAGUUACAAACAACUCUUGUGAACUAUGAAUGUAGUUACAAAAUGAAUGAACGAUUAAAAGGCAUGCCUAUGCUUGUGAGGAUUUUAAAGUAAAACCAUCAAGUGCUUUUUAAAAUUUUCUGUCAUAAAUAUAUGCUAGAGUAAGACUUGUUCAUAUGUAAUCAAAGAGACUUUGUUGUUUGAUUGAUGUAGAUAAUUAGAAAAAUAUUGCUCAUUGUCCAAUGUAUUCUUAAUGUAUG